UGGGCGAAAGCCUGACGGAGUAACGCCGCGUGGGUGAUGACGGCCUUCGGUUGUAAAACUCUGUGAUCCGGGACGAAAAGGCAGAGUGCGAAGAACAAACUGCAUUGACGGUACCGGAAAAGCAAGCCACGGCUAACUACGUGCCAGCAGCCGCGGUAAU
rnacentral:rRNA from 1 species